CACUUACAGAUGGACCCGCGGCGCAUUAGCUAGUUGGUGAGGUAACGGCUCACCAAGGCAACGAUGCGUAGCCGACCUGAGAGGGUGAUCGGCCACACUGGGACUGAGACACGGCCCAGACUCCUACGGGAGGCAGCAGUAGGGAAUCUUCCGCAAUGGACGAAAGUCUGACGGAGCAACGCCGCGUGAGUGAUGAAGGUUUUCGGAUCGUAAAGCUCUGUUGUUAGGGAAGAACAAGUACCGUUCAAAUAGGGCGGUACCUUGACGGUACCUAACCAGAAAGCCACGGCUAACUACGUGCCAGCAGCCGCGGUAAUACGUAGGUGGCAAGCGUUGUCCGGAAUUAUUGGGCGUAAAGGGCUCGCAGGCGGUUUCUUAAGUCUGAUGUGAAAGCCCCCGGCUCAACCGGGGAGGGUCAUUGGAAACUGGGGAACUUGAGUGCAGAAGAGGAGAGUGGAAUUCCACGUGUAGCGGUGAAAUGCGUAGAGAUGUGGAGGAACACCAGUGGCGAAGGCGACUCUCUGGUCUGUAACUGACGCUGAGGAGCGAAAGCGUGGGGAGCGAACAGGAUUAGAUACCCUGGUAGUCCACGCCGUAAACGAUGAGUGCUAAGUGUUAGGGGGUUUCCGCCCCUUAGUGCUGCAGCUAACGCAUUAAGCACUCCGCCUGGGGAGUACGGUCGCAAGACUGAAACUCAAAGGAAUUGACGGGGGCCCGCACAAGCGGUGGAGCAUGUGGUUUAAUUCGAAGCAACGCGAAGAACCUUACCAGGUCUUGACAUCCUCUGACAAUCCUAGAGAUAGGACGUCCCCUUCGGGGGCAGAGUGACAGGUGGUGCAUGGUUGUCGUCAGCUCGUGUCGUGAGAUGUUGGGUUAAGUCCCGCAACGAGCGCAACCCUUGAUCUUAGUUGCCAGCAUUCAGUUGGGCACUCUAAGGUGACUGCCGGUGACAAACCGGAGGAAGGUGGGGAUGACGUCAAAUCAUCAUGCCCCUUAUGACCUGGGCUACACACGUGCUACAAUGGACAGAACAAAGGGCAGCGAAACCGCGAGGUUAAGCCAAUCCCACAAAUCUGUUCUCAGUUCGGA
rnacentral:rRNA from 1 species